rnacentral:rRNA from 1 species
UACGGAGGGUGCAAGCGUUAAUCGGAAUUACUGGGCGUAAAGCGUGCGUAGGUGGUUCGUUAAGUCCGUUGUGAAAGCCCCGAGCUCAACUUGGGAAUUGCAGUGGAUACUGGCGAGCUGGAGUGCGGUAGAGGAAGGUGGAAUUCCCGGUGUAGCGGUGAAAUGCGUAGAUAUCGAGAGGAACCCCUGCGGCGAAGGCGGGUAGCUGGGCCGACACUGACGCUGAGGCGCGAAAGCCAGGGGAGCGAACGGG